UACGUAGGGUGCGAGCGUUGUCCGGAAUUAUUGGGCGUAAAGGGCGCGUAGGCGGCCUGCUAAGUCGAACGUGAAAUCCCUGGGCUCAACCCAGGAACUGCGUCCGAUACUGGUUGGCUUGAAUCCGGGAGAGGGAUGUGGAAUUCCAGGUGUAGCGGUGAAAUGCGUAGAUAUCUGGAGGAACACCGGUGGCGAAGGCGGCAUCCUGGACCGGCAUUGACGCUGAGGCGGCGAAAGCUAGGGGAGCAAACGGG
rnacentral:rRNA from 1 species